CCCCUUCACUACUCAUCUUCUCAAAGGGCCACUUGCAGUGGGGAAAAGCAGCCUUUAUUAUAGCUGCUUUGCAUAAUAAGGCUGUCUCUCCCUUCUUUUGCCUCCUUGCCUCCCACCAGGAGGAAAUAUUGCAUCUGUCUCUCUUUGAGGGCAUUCAGGCUGGAUGGCCUUGUGAUAAAGCACAGAAGUUGGAGGCAUAUAAAUCUAACACAUAUCCAUUAAAAAUAAUCAUCUCAGACUAGGUUCAGGAUACGCUGCUCAGGUUCUCUGUUUUAUCUUAUUCCUGGAAACAAGAGCUGCUGCUAACAUUAAAAACACAGCUUCUUAUAAUAGUGUCUUAUCUCCUCCCUUAAUUGCCCAGACAAAGCUGGAGAGAAACUGGGUCACACAUUCACCGUGUUUAAGUUUACAUGGGAACCUGCUGGUUUUCUUUGUCAUAGGCUCCGAGGUAGCUAAGCAUGCUGCUAACCUCAUAUAUCAUGACAACGUCGCCCUGGGAAUCCCGGUGUCCUCAGAGGUCCUUGUCGUGGCUCACAGUGAGCCAGAGGAGCCCGUGAACGCACACAGAGAAAAGUGCAAAUCCAUCACCACGACUGAACUGGCAAUUUCAAUGUCAGGCCCUCCUGAUGGUGGGUCAAUGGCCCCGGCCUCCAGCGUGAGUGAUGGCUUAUUCGUUCAUUUGGCAGAGCUCUCCCCUGACCCUGAACAUUGAGGAUGAGUAAGCUCGUCUCCAGGUGAGACUCAGAAGGCCUGGAUGCUAAAAGCCUUACCAUCACCCACACAGUUCGUUGCACAACUUCCUGACUUCUACAACUCCAGUACCCUCCUCCUUUCCCUCCGGAGCUGCAGGGUUUUGCUUGUGCCACGGGAUUCCUGAGGGCAAGAAGUGUGUCUGGAGGGUUACCCAUGUUCCCCAAACACAGGCACCACCACAAGAUAAAAUGCUUAAUAACCGUCUGAUACAGAUUUCCCUGGUGGUCCAGUGGUUGGGAGUCUGCCUGCCAGCGCAGGGGACACAGGUUUGAUCCCUGGUGUGGGAAAAUCCCAUAUGCUGUGGAGCAAAUAAGCCCAUGAGCUGCAACUCUGAAGACUAUGUUCUAGAGCCUGUGCUCUGCGACAGAAGCCACCGCAGUGAGAAGCCCGCACAUUGCCAUGAAAAGCAUCCCAUGCUCACUGCAACUAGAGAAAGCCCUCGAGCACAGCAAUGAAGACCCAGCAUGGCCCAAAAUUUAAUUAAUUAAUUAAAAAGCAAUGGUCUCAUAG
ensembl:lncRNA